CAUUGGAUCCAGACUUUGAUUCUGGCUCAGGAUGAACGCUAGCUACAGGCUUAACACAUGCAAGUCGAGGGGAAACGACAUCGAAAGCUUGCUUUUGAUGGGCGUCGACCGGCGCACGGGUGAGUAACGCGUAUCCAACCUGCCCACCACUUGGGGAUAACCUUGCGAAAGUAAGACUAAUACCCAAUGACGUCUCUAGAAGACAUCUGAAAGAGAUUAAAGAUUUAUCGGUGAUGGAUGGGGAUGCGUCUGAUUAGCUUGUUGGCGGGGUAACGGCCCACCAAGGCAACGAUCAGUAGGGGUUCUGAGAGGAAGGUCCCCCACAUUGGAACUGAGACACGGUCCAAACUCCUACGGGAGGCAGCAGUGAGGGAUAUUGGUCAAUGGACGAGAGUCUGAACCAGCCAAGUAGCGUGCAGGAUGACGGCCCUAUGGGUUGUAAACUGCUUUUAUAAGGGAAUAAAGUGAGUCUCGUGAGACUUUUUGCAUGUACCUUAUGAAUAAGGACCGGCUAAUUCCGUGCCAGCAGCUGCGGUAAUACGGAAGGUCCGGGCGUUAUCCGGAUUUAUUGGGUUUAAAGGGAGCGUAGGCCGGAGAUUAAGCGUGUUGUGAAAUGUAGACGCUCAACGUCUGCACUGCAGCGCGAACUGGUUUCCUUGAGUACGCACAAAGUGGGCGGAAUUCGUGGUGUAGCGGUGAAAUGCUUAGAUAUCACGAAGAACUCCGAUUGCGAAGGCAGCUCACUGGAGCGCAACUGACGCUGAAGCUCGAAAGUGCGGGUAUCGAACAGGAUUAGAUACCCUGGUAGUCCGCACGGUAAACGAUGGAUGCCCGCUGUUGGUCUGAAUAGGUCAGCGGCCAAGCGAAAGCAUUAAGCAUCCCACCUGGGGAGUACGCCGGCAACGGUGCAACUCAAAGGAAUUGACGGA
rnacentral:rRNA from 1 species